GGGGUACGUGACAGACUUACCUCUACGUGGUGCACCCUGGGCAACGUAUAUCCAUACGGCAAAAAAAGUAUAU
rnacentral:ribozyme from 1 species